rnacentral:rRNA from 1 species
UACGUAGGGUCCAAGCGUUAUCCGGAAUCACGUGGCGUAAAGCGUUCGUAGGCGGGUAUUUAAGUGAGAUGUGAAAGCGUGUGGCUCAACCAUAUCGUUGUGUCUCAUACUGGGUACCUGGAGGAAGGCAGAGGCAAGUGGAAUUGGCAGUGUAGCAGUGAAAUGCGUAGAGAUUGCCAGGAACACCAAUGGCGAAGGCAGCUUGCUGGGCCUUUUCUGACGCUGAGGAACGAAAGCGUGGGGAGCGAACAGG